ACGAACGCUGGCGGCGUGCUUAACACAUGCCAGUCGAACGGAAAGGCCCUUCGGGGUACUCGAGUGGCGAACGGGUGAGUAACACGUGGGUGAUCUGCCCUGCACUUUGGGAUAAGCCUGGGAAACUGGGUCUAAUACCGAAUAGGACCGCGCGCUUCAUGGUGUGUGGUGGAAAGCUUUUGCGGUGUGGGAUGGGCCCGCGGCCUAUCAGCUUGUUGGUGGGGUAAUGGCCUACCAAGGCGACGACGGGUAGCCGGCCUGAGAGGGUGACCGGCCACACUGGGACUGAGAUACGGCCCAGACUCCUACGGGAGGCAGCAGUGGGGAAUAUUGCACAAUGGGCGCAAGCCUGAUGCAGCGACGCCGCGUGAGGGAUGACGGCCUUCGGGUUGUAAACCUCUUUCACCAGGGACGAAGCGCAAGUGACGGUACCUGGAGAAGAAGCACCGGCCAACUACGUG
rnacentral:rRNA from 1 species